AACGAACGCUGGCGGCAGGCUUAACACAUGCAAGUCGAACGGUUGUAGCAAUACAGCAGUGGCAGACGGGUGAGUAACACGUGGGAACCUUCCUAGGGGUACGGAACAACUCAGGGAAACUUGAGCUAAUACCGUAUACGUCCGUGAGGAGAAAGAUUUAUCGCCCUUAGACGGGCCCGCGUAGGAUUAGGUAGUUGGUGGGGUAAUGGCCUACCAAGCCUACGAUCCUUAGCUGAUCUGAGAGGAUGAUCAGCCACACUGGGACUGAGACACGGCCCAGACUCCUACGGGAGGCAGCAGUGGGGAAUCUUGGACAAUGGGCGCAAGCCUGAUCCAGCCAUGCCGCGUGAGUGAAGAAGGCCUUGGUUGUAAG
rnacentral:rRNA from 1 species